rnacentral:lncRNA from 1 species
AAUUAUUUGAUUCAGUGCUUUGUCAGACAAAAAACAGAAUCUUUCUAUUUUGCAGGUGAUAUAUACUCGAGGGCAUGAAGACGGGUAUAUAAUAAUACUCCAGGUGAGAUAUAUGCAGGUGUUAUGGAUUGUGGUUUCGAGGAAAACAAUGAUGGAACUCAAUAUGCGGCCACUAAGUUUCUGAAGCUUGAUCGACAUCUUUUAUCAGUUGUUAAUUAGUAUUAGGAUUCAUAUGCAUGUCUACUGUUUUUCAGGAAACUCAAGACAUGAUGGUUCUGUUUUGGACGGAAAAGAAAAGUAGCACCACUGUGUUAACCCAAUGCUUAGGUGAUUAACUGCAGAUCAAACAAUUUCUAUCCCCUGUUUACGCAGUAUGGAAGUACACAUGGUUAUUGGUGAGUGACCUUCUUGGCAUAUGUAGAUUUUCUGCAUUCUGAAUUUUUAGCGCUUGUGAUUCUUGUAGGUUAUGCUUUAUUCAAGCGUAUCACUUGUAUUUCCAUUUCUCUACGUUUUACUUAAAUCACAUAUUUGACACCUUGUAAAAUCUGCAGUUAAUUACAAAAUCCCCAGAGUUGCAGAGGUGUUCUAGAUUAUUUCAUUAGUCCAUUUAGAGCAUGUCAAAUGGAGCGUCUUAUUUAGGGAUAAAAUCAACUUUCCUCUGAAGUCUGCUGCUGGUACCGCUCUUUUAUAUGGUGUUCUGAACUGGCCACACUCUUGUGACAGAUUACUACAUCUAGCUGAAGUUAAUAGCGCAAGGUGCUUGCUUAAGCUGCCAGCAUGUAAGAAAUACUAACAUAUUUGUUACCAUUGUAAUAUGAUAUCUCAAUUAGGGUGCGCGUGUGCGUAUGUGUGUGCCCUUGUAGCUGGUCUAUUUGCAAAUGGAACUGCUCCAAAAAAAAUUCAAUUAGAGCUAGCUGAUAGUGACAGAUAACUACAUCUAUGUGAACCUGCAUUGUCCUACAGUCAUACUCUGAGCUAGCUGAUAGUGAUAGAGUACUACAUCUAUGUGAACCCGUAUUAUCCUAUUAUGCUUCUCUUGAC